UAGUCUCUUAAGUUACAUCCACAACAUCUGGCCAGGGCUCAGGGAUAGUCUUUGGGAUGCACUUCCUCAGAGAGGAUUAGGAUUGGAUCUGAGCAUCCUGCUGCCUGACCCAUGUGUGUUUUCAGUCCUUCCUCUCCAGUUCUUCUCUAGCUGGACUAGGUUCUUACCUAAGAAGUACCCUGCUCAUGCAUGUGCAAAUUCACUGAGUUUAUGGCAGUAAAUACAGGGAUGUCAACACCCUGAAAUCAACCUGUGAUCAGUGUCCUCUCCACAGUUACUGAAAACACUGACUCUUGCCAUGGAAUGGAGCUGGGUGGUUCUCUUCUUCCUGUCAGUAACUGCAGGUGUCCAAUCCCAGAUCCAUCUGCAGCAGUCUGGGGAUGAGCUGGUGAAGCCUGGGGCUUCAGUGAAGCUGUCCUGCAAGGCUUCUGGAUACACCUUCACUAGCUCCUAUAUGAACUGGGUGAAGCAGAGGCCUGGACAGGGCCUUGAGUGGAUUGGAUGGAUUGGUCCUGGAAGUGGUAGUACUGACUACAAUGCAAAGUUCAAGGGCAAGGCCACACUGACUGCAGACACAUCCUCCAGCACAGCCUACAUGCUACUCAGCAGCCUGACAUCUGAGGACUCUGCGGUCUAUUACUGUGCAAGACACAGUGUUGUAACCACAUCCUGAGUGUGUCAGAAACCCUGGAGGAGCAG